UGAGUAACCUGCCCUUCACUCUGGGAUAACUCCGGGAAACCGGGGCUAAUACUGGAUAUGACUCGAACAGGCAUCUGUUUCGGGUGGAAAGAUUUUAUUGGUGGAGGAUGGACUCGCGGCCUAUCAGCUUGUUGGUGAGGUAAUGGCUCACCAAGGCGACGACGGGUAGCCGGCCUGAGAGGGCGAUCGGCCACACUGGGACUGAGACACGGUCCAGACCUCCGUACGGGAGCA
rnacentral:rRNA from 1 species